AUGGAGGAUCUGGAGCGUCGGCUACGAUUUGCCAUGGUGGCCUAUGUGGGCGGUGCUCGGCGCCGGUUGUCGCCGCAGCGGGUGCAUGAAAUCUUGGAAGGAAAGCUGGAUAUCUCGGCGGACCAAGCCUCAGUUCAUCCAUAUCGGCCGGAAGAUUUCUUAGUGGUGUUUGCUUCUGCAGAGAUAAGGAACAGAGUGGCGGCAUGCCCGUCGGUAGAGUUUCAAGGGGACCGGCUGUUAUUCAGGCCAUGGAAUCGGCAAUCGCAAGCGGUCCACUCGGUGAUGGGUUUCAAAGUUUGGUUAGUGCUUGAAGGCAUCCCGCCCCAUGCCUGGGAUCGGGCAACAGCAGAGGAGCUGCUGGGAUCCUCGUGUAAGGUGGAUGUUGUGGCGUCGGAGUCUACCUCGCGGGCGGAUUUGUCUUCCUUCAAGCUUUCUGCGUGGACGGCCGACCCGGAUGAGAUCCCUACGAUGCGUUGGCUAGCAGUUCCGGAGCCUGGUACUGAGGCUCCGCCGCCAUUGCUGCAGUAUAAGGUUCUAAUCCAUGUCGAUGCGGUGGCGGACUUCAGGGACGCAGGAGAGCCGCUUUUCCUCGGUGGAUCGUCGGACAGUGGUCAGAGC
rnacentral:rRNA from 1 species